GAGUGCGAUCAUACCAGUGUUAAUGCAAUGGAUCCCAUCAGAACUCCACAGUUAAGCGGGCUUGGGCUAGAGUAGUACUAGGAUGGGUGACCUCUCGAGAAGUCCUAGUGUUGCACCCU
rnacentral:rRNA from 1 species